rnacentral:rRNA from 1 species
GACGUAGGGCGCAAGCGUUGUCCGGAUUUAUUGGGCGUAAAGAGCUCGUAGGCGGCCUGUCGCGUCGACUGUGAAAACCCGCGGCUUAACCAUGGGACUGCAGUCGAUACGGGCAGGCUAGAGUGCGGUAGGGGAGACUGGAAUUCCUGGUGUAGCGGUGAAAUGCGCAGAUAUCAGGAGGAACACCGGUGGCGAAGGCGGGUCUCUGGGCCGACACUGACGCUGAGGAGCGAAAGCGUGGGGAGCGAACAGG